rnacentral:rRNA from 1 species
CACGUAGGGCGCAAGCGUUGUCCGGAAUUAUUGGGCGUAAAGAGCUCGUAGGCGGUCUGUUGCGUCCGCUGUGAAAACUCGGGGCUUAACCCCGAGCCUGCAGUGGAUACGGGCAGACUAGAGGUAGGUAGGGGAGAAUGGAAUUCCCGGUGUAGCGGUGAAAUGCGCAGAUAUCAGGAGGAACACCAAUGGCGAAGGCAGAUCUCUGGGCCGUAACUGACGCUGAGGAGCGAAAGCAUGGGGAGCGAACAGG